UGGGGAAUAUUGCGCAAUGGGGGAAACCCUGACGCAGCGAUGCCGCGUGAGUGACGACGUCUUUCGGGAUGUAAAGCUCUGUCAAGUGGGACGAUAAUGACGGUACCACUGGAGGAAGCCCCGGCUAACUACGUGCCAGCAGCCGCGGUAAUACGUAGGGGGCAAGCGUUAUCCGGAUUUAUUGGGCAUAAAGCGCGCGUAGGCGGUAUUUUAAGUCAGAUGUUAAAGCCUUGAGCUCAACUCAAGUAAGCAUUUGAUACUGAAGUACUAGAGGUCAGUAGAGGAAAGCGGAACUCAUAGUGUAGCGGUGAAACGCGUAGAUAUUAUGAGGAACACCGGUUGCGAAGGCGGCUUUCUGGACUGAUUCUGACGCUGAGGUGCGAAAGCGUGGGGAGCAAACAGG
rnacentral:rRNA from 1 species